rnacentral:rRNA from 1 species
AUGAACGCUAGCUACAGGCUUAACACAUGCAAGUCGAGGGGCAUCGAGAGGAAAGCUUGCUUCCUGUCGGCGACCGGCGCACGGGUGAGUAACGCGUAUCCAACCUUCCCCUUAGUAGGGCAUAGCCCGGCGAAAGUCGGAUUAAUACCCUAUGUUUUUCCGAUGAGGACAUCUGAGCUGGAAUAAAGAUUUAUCGCUAAGGGAUGGGGAUGCGUCUGAUUAGGUAGUCGGCGGGGUAACGGCCCACCGAGCCAACGAUCAGUAGGGGUUCUGAGAGGAAGGUCCCCCACAUUGGUACUGAGACACGGACCAAACUCCUACGGGAGGCAGCAGUGAGGAAUAUUGGUCAAUGGGCGAGAGCCUGAACCAGCCAAGUAAGCGUGCAGGAUGACGGCCCUAUGGGUUGUAAACUGCUUUUAUCGGGGGAUAAAGUGAGGGACGCGUCCCUUUUUGUAGGUACCCGAUGAAUAAGGACCGGCUAAUUCCGUGCCAGCAGCCGC